GUUUGAUCCCAAUGAAUGAGAUUCUCCCAGGAAUGAAGGAAUGGAAAUGCAAGGUGAGAGUGAUCAAGAAGUUAGGAGCUAAGCAAGCUAACAAUAAUCCUAAUAAAUUUCAGAAACUAAUCUUGGGUGAUGGCUUGGGCCACACUCUUGAUGCUGUGAUAUUCCAUGAUAAUAUAGAUAGGUUCAAACAUGUGCUUCAAGAGGGUAAUGUUUACAUGGUGAAAGGAGCUUAUGUUUCUGAUCCAAAGCAAUACAGGAAUCCAAUUGUGACAUGUAAUUACCAAUGGACGUUCAGAAAAGAUACUUCGGUGAAGGAAGAACCAAAUGAUUCUAUACCUGCUGGGGGACUAAGUUUUAGAACAACUCCAAGUUGCGAGUUCCACAAAUUCCUCUCAACAAAGACAUUGAUCAGUUAAGCUAAGCAACUUAGUUAUUGAAGAUUUGUGAAUGAUAUUUCUAUAUUUAUUUUAGCAAUGUUAAUUAAUCAUUUUCUUCUCUUACUUAGAUACUGCUUGUGUCAUUAUUGCUACCAAUGAACCUCGGGUAGUCACAGUCAAAGGACAGGGUAAAGUCAUUCGUGAGUAUGCUGCUAUAGAUACAGAGCUGGAAUCGUUUGUGGUGACAUUUUGGGAAGAUUCUGUAUCCGAUGAGAUCUAUGCUAAAUUGGAACCUAUUUCGAAUAGGAUACCAUUGUUGUUGUUGAAUUUUUCAGUCGUGCCAUAUUACGGAUUGAGUCUGACCACCAAUGCUCAGUCAAUUGUCUUGGAUGGCUUUGAGAAUGAAAUGCUAAUUGAACUAGAGAGAUGGAAGCAAGAGAAUGAAGAGGCCAUUAACAUCUUAAUACAAACUGGUGGUUUUUUUGAAAAGAAAGUGUUGCGCUCACCCAAGCAACCUUUGCAGAUUACUAAAGUGGAACAAAUGUUGCAGAAUCAAGA